GGGAACCUUCUGCUGACCAAGUACAGCCUGAGGACAUUUACUCCUGCAAGCCAAUAGAAGGCCUAAAACAUCUCUUCUGGAGGGACCAAGAAGCUUCACCACAGGAAAUCCAAUCAAGGCCUUUAAGGCUCAAGUCUUGAUGCAAGAGGGUUCUGUUGCAUCUGUUCAUCUCUGCAAAUGGCUGAGAUCCCCAUGAGCAGACAUGAGCAUGCUGGGCAAAGAUUCAGAUGUCAGGAACCAUCUGGUGACCAAAUGAGUCCUGAGAGAAAGAGACAGACGUGCAAUUUCCGUGAUAGAUCAAACCCAAGUCCUGAGAAAUGCUACCCGAGCACUCUACCACUGAGCACACCCUCAUCCCUGCAAGGAAUCCCUGAUGUGACAGCUCCGUGCAGUGUGAUGGCAAAACUCACUGGACAAAGCUGCACAGACAACAUUCUGUUGGAAGGACUCCACUCUGACUGCAAAUCACUUGGACUCAGCUCUUCUGUGUUUUCAGGAUGGAAGACACUUACAGUAUGUACUUCUUGCUUAUUUUGGAAAAUAAAUCAAAUCAUUUACAUAUAAUUUGAUGGUUGACUAUACUUGUAGUCUGUUGAGAAAAAUUCAUAUUCUCUCCCUCAACUGCAGAAGGCGAAAGGUGUAGAGAACUGUUCAAAUUCAGAAGACACUUUAACUUCAGUAAUUAAAAAUGUAUUAGAGCAGAGCAUGGUAGUGCACAACUGUAAUCCCAACACA